CAGUCGCCGCGGGAAUACAGAGGGGGCUAGCGUUGUUCGGAAUCACUGGGCGUAAAGGGUGCGUAGGCGGUUUAUCAAGUCAGAGGUGAAAGCCCGGGGCUCAACCCCGGAACUGCCUUUGAAACUAGUAGACUUGAAUCUUGGAGAGGUCAGUGGAAUUCCGAGUGUAGAGGUGAAAUUCGUAGAUAUUCGGAAGAACACCAGUGGCGAAGGCGACUGACUGGACAAGUAUUGACGCUGAGGUGCGAAAGCGUGGGGAGCAAACAGGAUUAGAUACCCCCGUAGUCCCUGUCUCUUAUAA
rnacentral:rRNA from 1 species